CAAUAGCGUAUAUUAAAGUUGUUGCGGUUAAAAAGCUCGUAGUUGGAUCUCGGCAGGCAGGGGGUGGUUCGCUCUUAGCGCUACUGCCCCAUUUGCCUGUGUGAUUGGCGGAGGUUUCGGGGUGCUCUUCGUUGAGUGACCCGGGGCACCGUCAGGUUUACUUUGAAAAAAUUAGAGUGCUCAAAGCAGGCUUUUCACGCUUGAAUAUUCGUGCAUGGAAUAAUGGAAUAGGAACUCGUUUCUAUUUUGUUGGUUUUCGGAAAUCGAGUUAAUGAUUAAUAGGGACAAUUGGGGGCAUUAGUAUUCAGACGACAGAGGUGAAAUUCUUGGACCGUCUGAAGACUAACUACUGCGAAAGCAUUUGCCAAGAGUGUUUUCAUUAA
rnacentral:rRNA from 1 species